CAGUAGCCGCGGUAAUACGUAGGUCCCGAGCGUUGUCUGGAUUUAUUGGGCGUAAAGCGAGCGCAGGCGGUUAGAUAAGUCUGAAGUUAAAGGCUGUGGCUUAACCAUAGUACGCUUUGGAAACUGUUUAACUUGAGUGCAAGAGGGGAGAGUGGAAUUCCAUGUGUAGCGCUGAAAUGCGUAGAUAUAUGGAGGAACACCGGUGGCGAAAGCGGCUCUCUGGCUUGUAACUGACGCUGAGGCUCGAAAGCGUGGGGAGCAAACAGGAUUAGAUACCCGUGUAGUCCCUGUCUCUUAUACC
rnacentral:rRNA from 1 species